GCCAGCAGCCAUAUCACCCUGCAACUCAAUCCACUGGAGCUAAGCAGGUGUGAGCCUGCUCAGUACCUGGAUGGGAGACCUCCUGGGGAAAAUAAGGUGGCUGCUGGAA
rnacentral:rRNA from 1 species